GAAAUCCGAAAUUGAUAUGCUUGAAUAAGCAGAUGGACGAUUACAUAGAUAUAAAAUGGGUACACAUGUAAAUUUCGUAUCAGCUACAGGGUAUAUAUAUACAUAUACAAGUAGUUAUGCUCAUGCUUGUACGAGUGAUGUCUGCACUUUAAAGUUGCCAUACAUAAGUGUUUGUAAUACGCUCGUUACAUUUAUUAUGGAGUGCGCUGCUCGACUGCCGAACAAUGCAGCUUUCGCCCGUUAGUUGUCUGGGUGGUAAAUAUAAGGAUCACAGUUUUGGCCAGUAACUGCGCAGACUUUGCAGCUGGCAUUUGAAUGGGGGGCGCACAUGACAUUCGACACAAUUCCCCGGCGCAGAGCACGUUGCCCAUAGCAGACUUAUCCGGGCAGCAGCAGCAGCACCAACAGAAGCCGGUGGCAACUAUCUGUAACUGGAGGCGGGCUGCAGUUUAAUAGUCUGUGCAACAAUGUGCAUGGCGCUUGCUUGCGGUCCUGAACACAGGAGCAAAUUCAAAAGGAGGGGCCC